rnacentral:rRNA from 1 species
AGAGUUUGAUCAUGGCUCAGAGCGAACGUUAGCGGCGCGCCUAACACAUGCAAGUCGCACGCGAAAAGGAGCAAUCCUGAGUAAAGUGGCGCACGGGUGCGUAACACGUAGAUAACCUGCCCUUCGAAGGGGGAUAACGUUCCGAAAGGAGCGCUAAUACCGCAUACAGCACUCUGGGGUUCGCCCUGGGGUGGCAAAGGCUGGGACCGGCAACGGCCAGUCGUCGAAGGAGGGGUCUGCGGCCCAUCAGCUAGUUGGCGAGGUAACGGCUCACCAAGGCGAAGACGGGUAGCUGGUCUGAGAGGAUGAUCAGCCACACUGGUACUGGAACACGGACCAGACUCCUACGGGAGGCAGCAGUGGGGAAUCUUGGUCAAUGGGCGCAAGCCUGAACCAGCGACGCCGCGUGAGUGAUGAAGGCCUUCGGGUUGUAAAGCUCUGUGGGGAGGGACGAAAAACUGGAGUCGAAUAGGCUACCAGGUUGACGGUACCUCCUUAGCAAGCACCGGCUAACUCUGUGCCAGCAGCCGCGGUAAGACAGAGGGUGCAAACGUUGCUCGGAAUCACUGGGCGUAAAGGGCGUGUAGGCGGACUUGUAAGUCGGGCGUGAAAUCCCUGGGCUCAACCCAGGAACUGCGCUCGAAACUGCGAGUCUUGAGUACCGGAGAGGAAGGUGGAAUUCCUGGUGUAGAGGUGAAAUUCGUAGAUAUCAGGAGGAACACCAGUGGCGAAGGCGGCCUUCUGGACGGUAACUGACGCUGAGACGCGAAAGCGUGGGGAGCAAACAGGAUUAGAUACCCUGGUAGUCCACGCCCUAAACGAUGAAUACUCGAUGUUAGCGAUAUACAGUUAGCGUCUAAGCGAAAGCGUUAAGUAUUCCACCUGGGGAGUACGCCCGCAAGGGUGAAACUCAAAGGAAUUGACGG